AUGAGUAGGGCGGGACACGUGGUAUCCUGUCUGAAUAUGGGGGGACCAUCCUCCAAGGCUAAAUACUCCUGACUGACCGAUAGUGAACCAGUACCGUGAGGGAAAGGCGAAAAGAACCCCGGCGAGGGGAGUGAAAAAGAACCUGAAACCGUGUACGUACAAGCAGUGGGAGCACAGGUUUACCUGUGUGACUGCGUACCUUUUGUAUAAUGGGUCAGCGACUUAUAUUCUGUAGCAAGGUUAACCGAAUAGGGGAGCCGGAGGGAAACCGAGUCUUAAUUGGGCGUUAAGUUGCAGGGUAUAGACCCGAAACCCGGUGAUCUAGCCAUGGGCAGGUUGAAGGUUGGGUAACACUAACUGGAGGACCGAACCGACUAAUGUUGAAAAAUUAGCGGAUGACCUGUGGCUGGGGGUGAAAGGCCAAUCAAACCGGGAGAUAGCUGGUUCUCCCCGAAAGCUAUUUAGGUAGCGCCUCGUGAAUUCAUCUCCGGGGGUAGAGCACUGUUUCGGCUAGGGGGCCAUCCCGGCUUACCAACCCGAUGCAAACUGCGAAUACCGGAGAAUGUUAUCACGGGAGACACACGGCGGGUGCUAACGUCCGUCGUGAAGAGGGAAACAACCCAGACCGCCAGCUAAGGUCCCAAAGUCAUGGUUAAGUGGGAAACGAUGUGGGAAGGCCCAGACAGCCAGGAUGUUGGCUUAGAAGCAGCCAUCAUUUAAAGAAAGCGUAAUAGCUCACUGGUCGAGUCGGCCUGCGCGGAAGAUGUAACGGGGCUAAACCAU
rnacentral:rRNA from 1 species